AAAGAGGCUGAGAUUAACAGCAUGACUGGGAACAGGUCUAGGCUUGGUGAAACAUAUGAGAUACUGCUGUUGCUUUCCCCAUCUUCCAGAUAAGUAUAGCACAAGGCUUUCCGAGAAAAGACUUCCCUUCAAGGAGCCAGCCUGCCAGCCCCCAGUACGCGUCUUCAAGCACCUGCAGACUGAGUUCGUGGAUGUGCCAUGCACAGCACAGAAGCAGAUUAAAUUAUGGCAGAAAGUGCUGCAGGAGUGUAAAGGUAGAUGGCAUGUGGUUGCCAUCCCUCCUGGUGCAGAGCAUGCCAGACCAGAAGAGCAGAGUCAGGCUUGGGCCUCCAUUGUUCCUCUUGCUGGCAGCCACUCACAAGGAGUAUUUACUGGGAGUACCACUGGGCUCCUCUGAUCUGUGACCAAAGGAGAGAAACAAGAGGAGAAACAGAAAUCCAGCGCUUUGCUUUGCAAGAAUCCUCUACAGCUGUAUUUCCUCUCUGAGAGUAGAGGGAUGGAAAUGGAGAUUCUGGGUGCAGCCAUCUUCUGUAGGCUCCCUUUUCACAUGAAGAUGUCUCUGUAGCUCGUUGCCUGACGGUCUCAUUGUCAACGCCCUCAGAAGGGUCUAGAGGACUCACUCCACCUGCUUUCCCUAUGAGCUGUGCAUUUUCCUGAGAAGUUACUUGGAUUUCAGGAGGUGGAUACUACCAUAAAAGGAUGACAUGUAUGGACUAAUGGGCCUAUCCUUCAGAAGGAGGAAAAUAUAUCGUUCCAGUGCUGGAAGCCGUGCUUGGUGUUUGCUUCUAAGAAACAAGCAGUUGCGCAUAAAAUAUACUUAUGGAGACAUAGAAGACAAGGAGCAUUAAUCCUUUGGGCACAUCCUAAUAUGGGUGAUUACUUUUAGCUUAACUAGAUCCCUUUUAGUGUUUGGAGUGAAAGUAGUGCCAAGUAAAACUUCCCAUUUUAUUUGCUAGUUGUGAGUGACUUCUCACUUUUGCCAUUCAGGAAGGUCCAUUACAUCAGGCCUGACAGAUUAAGGAAGAACUCCCCUCUAUUCCUCCUUCCCCAUGAAAGAAAAAGCCAUUUAUUAAUGAUGUGCUGGCUCAAAUGGAGACAGACUCUGAAAGAUCUAUACCAAACACAUUGGCUUUAAGCCAGCAUUUCCUUUAUCCUGAAACCUCUGUGAAGCCAAGGACAUACGCCAGCUCUCUAUGUGAGGACAGAUCUUAUGCCUCCACUCACACGUGUGCUGGGAAUCUAGGAACUGUGCUUCAUUUCAUGAUGCCAGCCAUGACUAGUGCAAGUUCAGAAGCUUCACAGAUCAUGUUAUUUCAGUCCUUGCUCCUAGCCAGCCUGCUCCCAUGAUACAGCAAAUCUCAUUCCUCUGCCCAAAGCAAAGAGAAAGCAGAAGACUCAGGGUGGUGGAAGAAACGUUAAUCUCUGAAGAUAAUGAAUGAAGAAGUAGAGUGAGAAGCAAAGGGGAAGGACAUGUUUGGGCCCAAAUUCUUGAUUCAUGGAGCAGGAGAGCUGCUGCAGUCCUGAAAAGUUUUGAUUCCUGAAGCUCCAGACAGUUACUAGCCCAAGGGGAAGGCAGGGUUGCCAGAGGGGGAGACCUGGCAGCUUGCUUGGGCUUUCUCAUGUCUCCUUUAGCAUUGGCCAGAGAGGUUCUUGCAACAGGCUGAGGCAUGGAAAAUACACAGGUGAGCUCCACUGCUGGUUCUGGAGGUAUUGCAGAUUCCUGCCUCAGUCUCAGAGGUAUCCAAUAAGCACGUGCUGUCUUUGGAGGCAAGAGGGUUUCCUGCUCUUUGCACUCAGCCCAGUAAUUUAGUAGCUUGUCCCUUGUGGCCAAGGACACAACACCAAAACAGAGUCGUUUGUCUGCCUUAGCCAGAAUCACAACCCUGUGUGGUAUAGAUGCAGAGGGCUCAAGCCAGGUGGCUCAGGCUGAAACAGGUUUGCUUGUGUAAAAACAACUUUGUGGC
ensembl:lncRNA